rnacentral:lncRNA from 1 species
AGUAGCUGGGACUGUAGACCCAGGCCACCACCACACCUAAUUUUUUUUUCUUUUUUAGACACAGAGUCUUGCUGUGUUGCUCAAGCUGACCUCCAACUUCUAGGCUCAAGUGAUCCUUCCACCUCGACCUCCCGAAGUGUUGGAAUAACAGGUGUGAGCCUGCACCCCAGCCUAAUUCCACCAUUAAUUUGUCUCAGCAACUCCUUUGUUGCCAACUUUUACCGGACCCAUGGGUCUGAAAGAGAAGCACAGUCCAUAGUGUUCCAGCUUUGAGUGUGGCUCUCUCAGAAGCAGGUGUGACAGCUGCCUCCUUGCUAAGAGAAAGACGUUUCAGUGUCUGCCUCCUGGGAAUGGAGUCUCCUGGUGACUCUGAGGAUGGCGCAGGACUCUCCCAGCUAACACUACACAGAGGCUCCCCAUCUUCAUGCCACCCCUUUGCCAGCUGCAGCCUGUGUGGACCCAGACACUUCUGACCCAGGCUCCAGUGCCCGCAUGUCUGAUAGCCUGUAUUUCAAACUCUGGGCUCCCCUGGACAUUCCCUCUCCAGCUGUGUGUGAUGUUAUUUUUCAGACCCAUUUACUGUUGUCCAGUGGCCUGCCAAGACCUUUAGGUGAAGAUGCUGACUCCCUCGCCGGCUCUUCUUCAUUCUUUUCAAACACACGUCAGAGUGGAACGCACAUCCCUUUUGCUUCACCUUCCAGGGAGAGAACGAGUCUUGAAGCAUCAACAGCUCUUUGAACACUUCCCAGGAAGACUAUUCAAGGACAUGUCUACUGGAAUCAGAAUUUUUUCCUUGGAGAUGGAGAGCUCCAAAACCCACAGUGCUUGGAAGUGAGUAUUGUGUGGUUGGAGAUAGUUUGCAGACUUUAGAUGGUAGCUGUGGAUGGUGAACUGAAAGUCAUCCUCAGCUUAAUGAUGAGUUGUCAUUUAUAAAAGAUAUCCAAAUUUUUUAUUGCAAUUAUUGUAUAGAAGUGAUCUCACAUCUGUUCUCCUUUUCUCUGCCUCCCAAAGGUAUUAUACAGAAACACAUUGUACAAAAUGUUACUCUUUGAGGAGUUUCAUUUGUUUCAUUACUUUUUUUCUUUGUACCUUUUAUAAAAUUUUAAAAUGGU